rnacentral:rRNA from 1 species
AUUGAACGCUGGCGGCAUGCCUUACACAUGCAAGUCGAACGGUAACGCGGGGCAACCUGGCGACGAGUGGCGAACGGGUGAGUAAUGUAUCGGAACGUGCCCAGUUGUGGGGGAUAACUGCUCGAAAGAGCAGCUAAUACCGCAUACGACCUGAGGGUGAGAGCGGGGGAUCGCAAGACCUCGCGCAAUUGGAGCGGCCGAUAUCAGAUUAGGUAGUUGGUGGGGUAAAGGCUCACCAAGCCGACGAUCUGUAGCUGGUCUGAGAGGACGACCAGCCACACUGGGACUGAGACACGGCCCAGACUCCUACGGGAGGCAGCAGUGGGGAAUUUUGGACAAUGGACGCAAGUCUGAUCCAGCCAUGCCGCGUGCGGGAAGAAGGCCUUCGGGUUGUAAACCGCUUUUGUCAGGGAAGAAACGCUCUGGGUUAAUACCUCGGGGUAAUGACGGUACCUGAAGAAUAAGCACCGGCUAACUACGUGCCAGCCGCCGCCGUAA